GCCAGCCCGCUCAGAAACUCAAAGGAAUUGACGGGGGCCCGCACAAGCGGUGGAGCAUGUGGUUUAAUUCGAUGAUACGCGAGGAACCUUACCUGGGCUCAAAUGUAUGUUGACGUAUUCUGAAAGGGAUACUUCUUCGGACAAUAUACAAGGUGCUGCAUGGUUGUCGUCAGCUCGUGCCGUGAGGUGUCGGGUUAAGUCCCAUAACGAGCGCAACCCCUAUCAUUAGUUGCCAUCAGGUCAAGCUGGGGACUCUAAUGAAACUGCCUACGCAAGUAGUGAGGAAGGUGGGGAUGACGUCAAAUCAGCACGGCCCUUACGUCCAGGGCUACACACGUGCUACAAUGGUCGGUACAAAGGGUUGCCAAGCCGCGAGGUGGAGCUAAUCCCAUAAAACCGAUCGUAGUCCGGAUCGCAGUCUGCAACUCGACUGCGUGAAGUCGGAAUCGCUAGUAAUCGUGAAUCAGAAUGUCACGGUGAAUACGUUCCCGGGCCUU
rnacentral:rRNA from 1 species